AUGGAGCGUGCGGCGGCGGCGGAGGCGGAGGCGGCGCUGCUGCGCGAGAAAGCGAAUCUGCUGCGGGAGUCGAUGCGUAGGAGCGAGGCGGUGCGCGAGGGGUCGGCCGCGGCGGUCGACUCCAUCGGCCGCCGCAUGGCCGCCGUCGACGAGGCCGUGCGCCCCGCCCAGGCGAGGACGUGGAGCGCGUACAGGGCCCACGACAACGUCGCCAGGAGCCUCCGCGCCGUGGAGGCCGUCGUGCGGCACCUCGACGCCGUCCGCGAGGCAGAGUCGGUGAUAUUGGAAAGUGCAAGCAAGGGUGUUACUGCAUAUCUCGACGCGGUCGAUAACUUAAAAAGCGCCGAGGACUUCUUCACUUCAAAGAGAAUCGGUAAAGCCGGUGACGACGCGCUCAAACGUGUCGAUGAAUUGCUUCGUAAGGCGGCUGCCGAGUUGGAGAAUGAAUUCAGUAGGGUGCUAUCAGAAUGCAGCAAACCGGUAGAGCUUGAGCAACUUCUCAAAUGUCUUCCAAGCCGUUCAUCAGCGAAAGAUUCUGCUGAAAGCCAGCCAAAUCCGGGUGCCGUGCUCUCUCUUCCUACGCUCAUUGAUCCGCGCUACGUGCCUCGGCUCUCAAAGUUAGCUCAGAAAUCAGUCCAACUUGGUUGCCAUAAACAGUUUGUGAAGAUAUAUAGAGAUACUCGCAGUUCAACUUUGGAACUGACCCUUAAGCAGUUGGGAGUUGAAUAUGUUACGGCAGAAGAAGUACAGACUGCGCAGGCUGAGAGCCGGGACGCUAAAAUUACUCACUGGAUCCGAUGUUUGCAGAUUGCGGUAAAGUUGCUUUUUCCUAGUGAACGCGCACUGUGUGAUCAAAUUUUUGAAGGGAAGCAUGCAUGGAAAGACCAUUGCUUUGCUGCAGCAACAUCCAAAAGCCUCCUGAAUCUACUCAGCUUUGGACAAGCUAUUUCUAAAUCUAAGACAUCACCAGACAAAGUAUUUUUGCUGCUAGAUAUGUUUGACCGAACAUUGGAACUUCAAUCUGAGGUUGAGGCAGUCUUUGCAGGAGAUGAGUGCGCUGAAAACCGGAAAUCUGCAAGUACUUUGGUCAAAUGUUUAGCACAAGCAGCAAAAAAGACUCUCAUUGACUUCAAAGACAGCAUUGUGAAGGAGUCGCCUAAGAAUACGAGUACUGAUGGAGAUGUGCAUCCUCUUACCAGCUAUGUUGGAAACUAUAUCAAAUAUCUUAUGGACUAUCAGUCAUCACUAAAGCUGAUCUUUCAAGAAUCCAGCAAUGGAGACGGAACAAAGUCUGGUCUGGUCUCUGAAAUCUCUGGCCUUAUACAUGCGGUAGAGACCAACCUAGAUGUAAAAGCAAAGCAAUACAAGGAUCAUGCCCUGGGAAUUCUGUUCUUAAUGAAUAACAUCAACUAUAUCGUCAGAUCUAUCCGCAGUUCAGAAGCCAAGGAUUUAGUUGGUGAUGAUUGGAUUCAAAGACGCCGAAGGACUGUGCAGCAACAUGCUACUCAGUACAAAAGAGUUGCUUGGGGAAAGGUAUUGGAUUGUCUCUCAGCUCAGGGUUUAACUUCAUCAGUAGGUUCUGCUACAGAAGGUAUUGCAGGAAGUGUUGGAAGUAUCGGAUCUCACAGCAGUACAACUUCCACAUCUGUGAUCAAGGCGAGAUUCAAGUCUUUCAACAAGCAAUUUGAAGAGGUUUGUCAGACUCAGAUGAACUGGGCUAUUCCCGAUAAAGAGUUACGCGAUAACCUUAUCCUUGCAGUUGCUGAAGUUCUGUUACCUGCUUAUAGAUCUUUCCUGAAACGCUUUGGGCCUCUUGUCGAGAACAGCCAUCAUGCUUCGAAAUAUAUGAAGUACACUCCAGAAGCACUUGAGCAAACACUUGGUAAUCUAUUUGCAAAGAAGUUACCACAGUAG
rnacentral:rRNA from 1 species